rnacentral:rRNA from 1 species
CCUACGGGGGGCAGCAGUGAGGAAUAUUGGUCAAUGGCCGGAAGGCUGACCCAGCCAUGCCGCGUGAAGGUCAGUGCCCUAUGGGCGUUAAACUUCUUUUGUGCGGGAGCAAUAAUGGUCACGUGUGGCCAGACGAGAGUACCGUACGAAUAAGCAUCGGCUAACUCCGUGCCAGCAGCCGCGGUAAUACGGGGGAUGCAAGCGUUAUCCGGAUUUAUUGGGUUUAAAGGGUGCGUAGGCUGGGAGGUAAGGGAGCGGGGAAAUGCCCCCGCUCAACGGGGUGAAGUGCCAUUGAUACUGCCUUGCUGGAAUGCGGAUGCGGUGGGAGGAAUGUGUGGUGUAGCGGUGAAAUGCAUAGAUAUCACACAGAACACCGAUUGCGAAGGCAUCUCACGAAUCCGCGAUUGACGCUGAUGCACGAAAGCGUGGGUAUCAAACAGGAUUAGAUACCCCAGUAGUC